rnacentral:rRNA from 1 species
UAACGAAUAUUCCGCAAUGCGCGAAAGCGUGACGGAGCAAUGCCGCGUGCAGGAUGAAGCCCCUCGGGGUGUAAACUGCUGUCAGGGUUUAGAAACACAAUGAUCAGACCCAAAGGAAGAGCCGGCUAACUCUGUGCCAGCAGCCGCGGUAAUACAGAGGGCUCAAGCGUUAAUCGGUAUCACUGGGCUUAAAGGGUGCGUAGGCGGACCUGUAAGUGUUUUGUGAAAGCCCACGGCUCAACCGUGGAAUUGCUUGGCAAACUGCAGGUCUUGAGGUCGGUAGGGGCUGCCGGAACUCUAGGUGUAGCGGUGAAAUGCGUAGAUAUCUAGAGGAACGCCAAAGGUGAAGACAGGCAGCUGGGCCGAUUCUGACGCUGAGGCACGAAAGCGUGGGUAGCGAACGGGAUUAGAUACCCCGGUAGUCCACGCCCUAAACGAUGUGUACUAGAUCGUGGAGGUUUUGACGCCAUCGCGGUCGAAGCAAAAGUAUUAAGUACACCGCCUGGGGAGUACGGUCGCAAGAUUA